GGAGGAGUGGCCGAGCGGCUGAAGGCGACGGUCUUGAAAACCGUUAGGCGAGUAAUCGUCUCGGGGGUUCGAAUCCCUCCUCCUCCG
rnacentral:tRNA from 1 species